GUGCAGCAGUCGAGAAAACUUCACACUGUGCGAAAGCACGAUGAGGGAAUCCCAAGUGCUUGCACGUAAGUGUAAGCUGUUUCUCUGUUUAAAACGCAGAGAGAGUAAGGGCUGGGUAAGACGGGUGCCAGCCGCCGCGGUAAUACCUGCAGCUCAAGUGGUGACCGUUAUUAUUGGGCCUAAAACGUCCGUAGCCGGCUUAAUAAAUGCCUGGGUAAAUCGUGUAGCUUAACUAUACGAAUUCCGGGUAGACUGUUAAAACUCGAGACCGGGAGAAGUUAGAGGUACUCCUGGGGUAGAGGUGAAAAUUCUGUAAUCCUAGGGGGACCACCAGUGGCGAAGGCGUCUAACUAGAACGGGUCUGACGGUGAGGGACGAAGCCCUGGGGGCGCAAAACGGGGAUUAGGAUACCCCGGUAGU
rnacentral:rRNA from 1 species